UUUGUUAUGUAGCAUCUGCUUUGAUGGUUAAUAGCCAUCAUUGGGCUCCUUUCACUGACUUCCUUUUGAAAGUCUUCAAAUAACCUUUAGCAAAGAACCAUAUCAGAUUUGUGUUUCCUUCCUAUAUAUAGGCUAAACUAAUCUUUCUUUUAUGUUCUUUGAAACUUUGUUUCUUUUUAGCUGUUUUGUUGUACGCAGAAGUUCUUAUUGAAGAAACAAUGCAUAAGGAGGGCAGUUAAGUAUUAAUGCAUUGGGGCCUUAUCUAAAGGCCAUUGAAGUUAGUCAUGCCCUUUAGCCUUUUUAUUUAUAAACAUACUAUCUACCAGUUGCCAUUAUUCAUCCUCGUCUUCCAUCACACGCAACUUUCUUUGCAUCUUUUUGCUUCAGAGACCAUAUUGCUUUAUCUCUGUUAUGAGGUUACUAGUACACUCUUGAGGACACUGAAAUACUAAACAUUACAUCAUUUCAUAACUCUUAUUCUGGCAGAUAAAAAUUCUGACUAAGCUGAUUAAAAAUACAAUUGAAACUACAGCAGAAAAAGAAUGAGAUUGUGUCCUAGUUCACGAGAAUCAAUACUUCUGUAGGGUAGAGAAAGAAAAGUGUUAAGAACUUUAACUGCAAUAAAUGGUGAGUUCAAAGCAAAGAAAUGGUGUGAACUGAGUGAGUAUGUAUUAAUGUACCACUGACUAUGGGCUGUUAUAGCAAUAGACCAAUGUCAUCUUUAAGAUGAGAAAAAGUGUCACUAUAGGACUAUUGCAAACUUGUCAUAACUUUGAGGAGAUGAAAUGACGACCAAUUAAAGGAUUUUCUUUUCUGGAAAGCGCUUGGCACUUGAUGUAGCAGGAAUCUUUGGAGCAGCAGUGGCGCCAUCAAAGUAACAACAACUGCACUCUGCAAACCAGUGAUUUACCAUCUCAUCACUGGGCCUUUAUGCCGAUCCUGAAAGACGUGACUGAGUCAAGUGAUGAAAGGAAUAGAACACUGGAUUAUGACUCAGAGAUCUAGGUUCUGUCUUCCAGGGCACUGCCACUGGUUGGAUUAGUGCCCUUAGGCAAGUAACUGCCCCUCUCUGUGCCUUGUUUUCAUAUCUGUAAAAUGGAGAUAAUCCUACUGCCCUCCUGUUUAAGCAUCUUACAGACAGAAUGUGUACAAUCUGGUAACAGCUAUGAAUUCCUUAAAUCCCUCAUUAACAAAGGCAUUGUGUGAAAAAUGCAUUCCAUAUCAACACAAAGUUCUACAUCUGCUUUAUUGUACUUAAAAGGAGAGAAGAAAUGCC